GCCCCCGUAGCCCAACUGGCAUGAGGCAAUGCACUCAAACUGCAUAAAGUGUGGGUUCGAGUCCCACCGGGGGCAC
rnacentral:tRNA from 1 species